ensembl:lncRNA
GCAUAGCACAGCAAAAGAGAGCAAAGCAAAAGAAGGCAAAGAAUGACAAAAAGCAACCUUGCAGGAAUGGAGGAAUCUGCCAGAGCUGUGCCCCUGCUUGCCACAGGAGCUGCGCGGGAGGAGAAGAACGUGGGCCAAAAGGUAAGAGGAGCUCCUUUGGGUUCUGGGCUUGAAGCAAAGCUGAGAAGCCAUGCCCGGGAGGAGGUGUGGGUAGCUACAGGCCACCUUGCUAUCUCCCCAAGAGAUGAGGUGCGUGGGCUAGGCACCGGGCAGGAGUGCUGGCCAGAAGCAAGCAUCUCUGUGGAGGAAGGCAAAGGGCGGAGGAGGUUCAAGGGUAGCUACCGGGCAUGGCCUUGCUCAGCAAGGGGAGGAAAAGCCUGAAGGGCACGAGAAGGGGAUAGAGAAGGGCAGGCAGUAGGCGUGAAGCUGCGAGCAGAGUAGAGAGCAACUUGGCAGAGCAGCAAGCAGAGUAGGCAAGUGUUGAGGUUUGGCGUGAGUAGCAGCAAAAGCCCAGAGCAUCAAGAAGCAGGAAGUGAGGAGAAGGUAAGUGAAGGGCAGGCAAGUGAGGAGAAGGUAAGUGAAGGGCAGGCAAGGUAAUGGGAGGCAAAGGCAAGGGG